UUCAGUCCUGAUUGGUUGAUGCUAAAAUGGAUGGCAGGUCACAGUUCAUUGGUCAGGUCCAAGUAGCAGAAUGGGGCCUUCCAAUAGCAGUUGAUUCUGGCUGCAUAAACACGGACAGGUUUGAAAGCUCCAAAGUUUAACUGCUGUUCACCUUGCACAGGGGAACCACUCUGUCAUCUCUGAAUGUUAAAGGUGAUCCCACAGAGCUCAAAGAGAAGAGGCAAUAUGCCAGAACACGGAGCUCCUAAGGGGCUCAGGCUGCGAGCACCCUCAGAACCCUAAACGUGACAACGCCUCUGGAGCCAGCACCAGGCCACCUUGCCCGGAGUAGGUGCUGAGCACACAUGGGUUGAAAUUCAAAAUGCUGGAAAUCAUUCUUCUCCUACCGUAUGCACUAACACACUUUCCAAGAUUCUCCCCAUUGCCUACAAUUACUGGAAGACCUCAUGUUUCACACCAACGUCUCCAGCAUUAGCCGGAAACUCAGAAGACAUGAGGAAAGACAGCAUUCAUUAUUCAUGGGAGUACUGCCGUCCUCUAAGGAAGCCCAGUGAGCUUAAUGCCCAGCUUACGCGUCUCAUCGAUAACCCGGUGCUGUCUCGUUGUUUGUGGCGUCCCUGGGUGAGCUCACUGGAGGGGAGGACAGCUAAUUAACAAACACUCUUCGGCCUUAAUUAAGCUGCCCUUUCCUGUCCGUCGUACUACUUCAUGGACACUAUUUCAAAGUAACUUGAGACAUUUCCUGCUUUAUUUAUUUUACUCCCAUUAUAGAGUUGAAUUCAGGUAAUUUCUUUUAAAAUAUGACCCCAUUAAGCUUCACUUAUCUAAGGAAAUGCACACAUUCUCACAUGUUUUGUAUUUUAACACGAGGUGAAUUCACUUAAAAGAUUAAUUUCUUUUUUGCCUCCUCCGCCUGCUCCUUCUUAACUGAGGGUCUGUGAGUGUCUUGCUUUGCUAGGUCUGCCGUAACCAAGUGCCACAGACUAGGGGGCACAAGGGACAGAAGGUCACUUUCUCACAGGUCUGGAGGCUAGAAGUCCAAGCCCGAGGUGUCAGCAGUGUUCGCUCCUCUGAGGGCGGAGGGAAGAUGCUGCUCCAGGCCUCUCUCUGUGGCUUGUAGGUGGCCGUCUUGUCCCUGUGUCUCCACACGGCUUUUCCUCUGUAUGUGUCUGUGUCCAAAUCUCCUCUUCGUAUAAGGACAACAGUCACACUAGAUCAGGGCCCACCCUAAUAACCUCAUUGUAACUUAAUUAUCUCUGUAAAGACCUUAUAUCCAAAUACAGUCACAUUCUGAAGUAUUGGGGGUUAAAACUUCGACAUAUUAAUUUUGGGAGGUCAUGUGGGGGGCCAAAUUCAUUCCAUAGUAAUGAAGAAAAAGUGAGAUUUCCAAGGGGAGGUAGCAGAACAUAUGGUCAAGGGCACCGUCUCUGGUGUCAGACCAUACGGGUUCAGGGCUCAGCGUCCCCACUCACCACCUAGGUAACAUUGGGCAAGUCUCUUUUCUGCCCUUCAGUUCUCCCAUCUGUAAAAUGGGUUAAUAAUGAUAUUUACUGCAGGGAGCUUUGGUGAAGAUUAAAUAAGUGUUUGCUGUAAUAAUUUCAAGAUUUUCCCUUAAAAUGCUUAAAGUGUGUUCAUGCGCUUUCUUCAUAGGGGAAAUGAAUGGUGACCAAGCAUGUCUGUCUUACCAUUCAUCCCCAGUGUGCAGCAGUGCCUGGCACACGGUAGGGACGUAACACUUGUUGGUGUUGAACAAUCCUACAAAGGAUAUAUUGUGCUGUUUUGUUGGUGUUCAGGAGCUUAGGGUUUGGCAGUCACAAAGCUAGUGAGAGCAGCUCUGUCAGGCGCCCAACCUGGUUUUUUUCCAUCAUCACACCUGUGUGUAUGCUCAACUGUGUGUUGCCAACAUUCAGCCUAUUGCCUGUGUGAGAUUCUGGGAUUUUUCUAAAGCUUCUGAUGAACAAAAUCCCUUUGAGGACUUUGUGAAUUUGGAAUCUGAGUGCCUUCCCCCACCUCCCAAAGGAAUCCCAUUAUUAAAUGUAUGUUCUUUCAGAUUAUAAGUUUCUAUAAAAUGGACAACCUUGCUCUUUAUGUGUGCAUUUUCAAAGUCUUCAGAAGAUAGCACAGUUUUUGCCCUCCCGUCUGCCAGGCCCACUCCCCAGCUAGCCUGUGUGUCUGCUGAGAGUGCCCAAAUGAGAGUGAUUUUUGAAGAAAUGUUUUCUACAUGAGCGUUGAAUGCAGGCAAGCCUCUGGCUUUUUUGCUUGUCAGGUUGCCGGUUCCCAGCCUUUCUAGCUCCUCUAUCAGAUACGUCAUGCCCCCUAGUGGAGCAGAGCAGCAAAAAGAACGGGCUGACCUAGAUUCUGUUUCCAGGCUGACCACUCACUCAUGAGAGCAAUCAUUGUUGCAGGCAAGCAAGAGCAGCAAGCAAACAAAAACCCCUUCAGGAUGGUGCUCCAGGGUUUAGCUACCGUUAACUUUUUAGUGAGGAAAAGCUCUUCAUGAAAAAAACGUAUUUGAGCAUAUGAGAUAGAAAAUAAAAAAGGAAUCUUUUGCAGGGCCACACCUUGCCAUUCUCCAGGGACAUUGUUCUCACUGUGCUCUAUGUGGGCGGACCCAGGUACAGCCGCCCUGCAGUGUCCCUACAUUUCUGCAAUGCUGACCCAAGGCACUGGCCAGGAGUCCUCAAACUACGGCCUGAGGGCCACAUGAGGCCUGAGAAAGACAUUUAUCCAGCUCGC